UGAAUACGAGAUGCUACGGCGUCGAAGCAGUCUAUGUCAUACUUCCAAGAAAAGCUCGCACUGUCAUAAACAAAUAAUGCCUGUACCAUAACCGACACAGGUGGGUAGGUAGAGUAUACUAAGGGGCGCGAGAUAACUCUCUCUAAGGAACUCGGCAAAAUGACUCCGUAACUUCGGGAGAAGGAGUGCCUUAUUUAUAAGGUUGCAAUAACAAGAUCCAAGCAACUGUUUAUCAAAAACACAGGUCUCCGCUAAGUCGUAAGACGAUGUAUGGGGGCUGACGCCUGCCCAGUGCCAGAAGGUUAAAGAAGUUGGUUAGCAUUCGCGAAGCUGAUAACUGAAGCCCUGGUGAACGGCGGCCGUAACGAUAACGGUCCUAAGGUAGCGAAAUUCCUUGUCGGGUAAGUUCCGACCCGCACGAAAGGCGUAAUGAUUUGGAUACUGUCUCGGAGAGGGGCUCGGUGAAAUAGACUUGUCUGUGAAGAUGCGGACUACCUGCACCAGGACAGAAAGACCCUAUGAAGCUUUACUGUAACUUGAGAUUGAAAUUGGACUUUACUUGCGCAGUAUAGGUGGGAGGCGUUGAUAAUAUUCUUGCGGGAUUAUUUGAGCCAUCAGUGAGAUACCACUCUUGUAAUGUUAGAUUUCUAACUUUGUAUCAUUAUCUGGUCAAAGGACAGUUUCAGGCGGGCAGUUUGACUGGGGCGGUCGCCUCCUAAACGGUAACGGAGGCGCACAAAGGUUUCCUCUGAACGGGUAGAAAUCGUAUCUAGAGUGUAAAGGCAUAAGGAAGCUUGACUGUGAGACCUACAAGUCGAGCAGGGACGAAAGUCGGUCUUAGUGAUCUGACGGUGCUGAGUGGAAAGGCCGUCACUCAACGGAUAAAAGUUACUCUAAGGAUAACAGGCUGAUCUCCCCCAAGAGUUCACAUCGACGGGGAGGUUUGGCACCUCGAUGUCGGCUCAUCGCAUCCUGGGGCGGUAGUACGUCCCAAGGGUUGGGCUGUUCGCCCAUGAAAGCGGUACGCGAGCUGGGUUCAGAACGUCGUGAGACAGUUCGGUCCAUAUCCGGUGUAGGCGUUAGAAUAUUGAGAGGAGCCUUCUUUAGUACGAGAGGACCGAGAAGGACAUACCUCUGGUGUACCAGUUAUCGUGCCAACGGUAAACGCUGGGUAGCUAUGUAUGGAGUGGAUAACCGCUGAAAGCAUCUAAGUGGGAAGCCCACCUCAAGAUAAGUAUUCUC
rnacentral:rRNA from 1 species